AACGAACGCUGGCGGCAUGCCUAACACAUGCAAGUCGAACGAGAUCUUCGGGUCUAGUGGCGCACGGGUGCGUAACGCGUGGGAAUCUGCCCUUUGGUUCAGAAUAACAGUUGGAAACGACUGCUAAUACCGGAUGAUGACGAAAGUCCAAAGAUUUAUCGCCAGAGGAUGAGCCCGCGUAGGAUUAGCUAGUUGGUGUGGUAAGGGCGCACCAAGGCGACGAUCCUUAGCUGGUCUGAGAGGAUGAUCAGCCACACUGGGACUGAGACACGGCCCAGACUCCUACGGGAGGCAGCAGUGGGGAAUAUUGGACAAUGGGCGAAAGCCUGAUCCAGCAAUGCCGCGUGAGUGAUGAAGGCCUUAGGGUUGUAAAGCUCUUUUACCCGGGAUGAUAAUGACAGUACCGGGAGAAUAAGCUCCGGCUAACUCCGUGCCAGCCGCCGCAGUAA
rnacentral:rRNA from 1 species